rnacentral:rRNA from 1 species
CCGUAACUUCGGGAGAAGGCACGCUGACACGUAGGUGAAGUGAUUUACUCACGGAGCUGAAGUCAGCCGAAGAUACCAGCUGGCUGCAACUGUUUAUUAAAAACACAGCACUGUGCAAACACGAAAGUGGACGUAUACGGUGUGACGCCUGCCCGGUGCCGGAAGGUUAAUUGAUGGGGUCAGCGCAAGCGAAGCUCCUGAUCGAAGCCCCGGUAAACGGCGGCCGUAACUAUAACGGUCCUAAGGUAGCGAAAUUCCUUGUCGGGUAAGUUCCGACCUGCACGAAUGGCGUAAUGAUGGCCAGGCUGUCUCCACCCGAGACUCAGUGAAAUUGAACUCGCUGUGAAGAUGCAGUGUACCCGCGGCAAGACGGAAAGACCCCGUGAACCUUUACUAUAGCUUGACACUGAACAUUGAGCCUUGAUGUGUAGGAUAGGUGGGAGGCUUUGAAGUGUGGACGCCAGUCUGCAUGGAGCCGACCUUGAAAUACCACCCUUUAAUGUUUGAUGUUCUAACGUGGACCCGUGAUCCGGGUUGCGGACAGUGUCUGGUGGGUAGUUUGACUGGGGCGGUCUCCUCCUAAAGAGUAACGGAGGAGCACGAAGGUUGGCUAAUCCUGGUCGGACAUCAGGAGGUUAGUGCAAUGGCAUAAGCCAGCUUGACUGCGAGCGUGACGGCGCGAGCAGGUGCGAAAGCAGGUCAUAGUGAUCCGGUGGUUCUGAAUGGAAGGGCCAUCGCUCAACGGAUAAAAGGUACUCCGGGGAUAACAGGCUGAUACCGCCCAAGAGUUCAUAUCGACGGCGGUGUUUGGCACCUCGAUGUCGGCUCAUCACAUCCUGGGGCUGAAGUAGGUCCCAAGGGUAUGGCUGUUCGCCAUUUAAAGUGGUACGCGAGCUGGGUUUAGAACGUCGUGAGACAGUUCGGUCCCUAUCUGCCGUGGGCGCUGGAGAACUGAGGGGGGCUGCUCCUAGUACGAGAGGACCGGAGUGGACGCAUCACUGGUGUUCGGGUUGUCAUGCCAAUGGCACUGCCCGGUAGCUAAAUGCGGAAGAGAUAAGUGCUGAAAGCAUCUAAGCACGAAACUUGCCCCGAGAUGAGUUCUCCCUGAGACUUUAGGUCUCCUGAAGGAACGUUGAAGACGACGACGUUGAUAGGCCGGGUGUGUAAGCGCAGCGAUGCGUUGAGCUAACCGGUACUAAUGAACCGUGAGGCUUAACCUUACAACGCCGAAG